GAUGAACGCUAGCUACAGGCUUAACACAUGCCAGUCGCGGGGCAGCAUGGGGGUUGCUUGCAAUCCCCGAUGGCGACCGGCGCACGGGUGAGUAGCGCGUAUCCAACCUGCCCUUCACCACGGGAUAACCCGGCGAAAGUCGGACUAAUACCGUAUGUUGUCCAUUGACGGCAUCCGAUUUGGACGAAAGGUUUGGCGGUGAAGGAUGGGGAUGCGUCCGAUUAGCUGGACGGCGGGGUGACGGCCCACCGUGGCGACGAUCGGUAGGGGUUCUGAGAGGAAGGUCCCCCACACUGGAACUGAGACACGGUCCAGACUCCUACGGGAGGCAGCAGUGAGGAAUAUUGGUCAAUGGGCGUAAGCCUGAACCAGCCAAGUAGCGUGCAGGAUGACGGCCCUAUGGGUUGUAAACUGCUUUUAUGCGGGGAUAAAGUGGCCCACGUGUGGGUUUUUGCAGGUACCGCAUGAAUAAGGACCGGCUAAUUCCGUG
rnacentral:rRNA from 1 species